UCUCAUUAUUACUCCUGACUC
rnacentral:misc_RNA from 1 species